rnacentral:rRNA from 1 species
AUGGAUGAAGAGACAGAUUCGAGGCCGUAGGAAUUUCAUGGCCGAAAUUGAGAAAACCCAGAAAAGCUUCGGUUGUAAAUACGUGUAGAAGAGCCAAUCGAUAGAUCUGGCCUGGACGGUGCCUAACCAGAAAGCUCGCGCUACGUAGCACAGCCACAGCUAACGUAGGGGCAAGUGUCCGGGAUUAUUGGGCGAAAGCGACGCGCUAGUGUUCUUUAAGAUGUGAGAGCACACCGGUUCACCGUGGAGGGUCAUUGGGAAUUGGAAACAAGAAGCAGAAAGAAAGAGGGAUACCAGGGGACGUUAAAAGAGUAGCAUUAGAGGGACAGCUGGGGAAAGGGAUGUUGUUAUAACUACACUAGGAGGAAAGAUGGGAGCAACAGAUUUGAUACCUGGUAAUUCUCACCGUAAACGAGUGUGUAAGUUAAGAGUUUCUGCCCUUAUAGAUGCAGGAAGCCUAAGCGCUCAAAGGGGGGGUGUGAAACACGAGGGAAACUCAAAAAAAUGCGGGGGGCGCACAAGAGGGGGGCAGGGGGUUUUAUGGAGCACUCGAAAAACCUAACAAGUCUUGACGUACUUGGACAACCAUAGAGAAAGAGCUUUUCCCUUAGGAGACAAAGACAGGUGAAACAUGGGGUGGUCAGGUAGAGUUGAGAUGUGGGGGAAUCCCGCAACAAGCGCGCCCCUUAUGUGAGUGCCAGAUUUAGUUGGGCACUUUAAGGUAAGGCCGGUAACAACGGGAAGGAGUAGGAGACUCAGAUCAUGAUACACUUAUGCCUGGGAACAAGUGAUGCAAGAAGGACAAAAAAGGGCGAACGCGAAGGUGGGCUAAUCCCAAUAGGGUUCGAGUUCGGAUUGCAGGUGCAACUCGCCAGAAGCGGAUGUUAUAAAGGGGUCAGCUUGGCGGGAUACGUUCCCCGGCCUGUCACGCCUUUUCCUCCCCCGAGCGUUUGUUCACCCGAAGUCGGUGGGGUAUCCUUUUUGGAGCCAGCUCGCUCUAAAGGCUGAAUUCAUU